UACGGAGGGUGCAAGCGUUAUCCGGAUUCACUGGGUUUAAAGGGAGCGCAGGCGGAUUGGUAAGUCAGUGGUGAAAUACCUGAGCUUAACUCGGGAACUGCCAUUGAUACUAUCAGUCUUGAAUAUUGUUGAGGUAUGCGGAAUGGGUCAUGUAGCGGUGAAAUGCAUAGAUAUGACCCGGAACACCAAUUGCGAAGGCAGCAUGCUAAACAAAGAUUGACGCUGAGGCUCGAAAGCGUGGGGAUCAAACAGG
rnacentral:rRNA from 1 species